rnacentral:rRNA from 1 species
GAUGAACGCUGGCGGCGUGCUUAACACAUGCAAGUCGAACGGGAAACCUUUUAUUGAAGCUUCGGCAGAUUUAGCUGGUUUCUAGUGGCGGACGGGUGAGUAACGCGUGGGUAACCUGCCUUAUACAGGGGGAUAACAGUCAGAAAUGGCUGCUAAUACCGCAUAAGCGCACAGAGCUGCAUGGCUCAGUGUGAAAAACUCCGGUGGUAUAAGAUGGACCCGCGUUGGAUUAGCUGGUUGGUGGGGUAACGGCCCACCAAGGCGACGAUCCAUAGCCGGCCUGAGAGGGUGAACGGCCACAUUGGGACUGAGACACGGCCCAGACUCCUACGGGAGGCAGCAGUGGGGAAUAUUGCUCAAUGGGGGAAACCCUGAUGCAGCGACGCCGCGUGAAGGAAGAAGUAUCUCGGUAUGUAAACUUCUAUCAGCAGGGAAGAUAAUGACGGUACCUGACUAAGAAGCCCCGGCUAACUACGUG